AACGAACGCUGGCGGCAGGCUUAACACGUGCAAGUCGAACGCUCCGCAAGGAGAGUGGCAGACGGGUGAGUAACGCGUGGGAAUCUACCCAUCUCUACGGAAUAACUCAGGGAAACUUGUGCUAAUACCGUAUACGCCCUUCGGGGAAAGAUUUAUCGGAGAUGGAUGAGCCCGCGUUGGAUUAGCUAGUUGGUGGGGUA
rnacentral:rRNA from 1 species